AAUGAACGCUGGCGGCAGGCCUAAUACAUGCAAGUCGAGCGCCCCGCCAGGGGAGUGGCUGAUGGGUCAGUAACGCGUGGGAACGUACUUUCUGGUUCGGAACCACCCUGGGAAACUGGAGCAAAUACCGGAAAAGCCCUCACGGGGAAAGAAUUAUCGUCGAAAGUUCGGUCCGAGACUGAUUAGCUAGUUGGCGAGGUAAUGGAUCACCAACGCGACGAUCAGUAGCUGGUCUGAGAGGAAGGGCAGACACACUGAGGGUGGGAUACAGUCCGGACUCUUACGGGAGGCGGCAGUGGGUAAUAGUGGACAAUGGGGGCAGUCCUGAUCCAGCCAGGCCGCGUAAGUGAUGUAGUCCUUAAAGAUGAAAAGCGCUUUUGUCCAUGAAGGUAAUGACGGUACCGGAAGAGUAAGCCCCGGCUAACUUCGUG
rnacentral:rRNA from 1 species